rnacentral:lncRNA from 1 species
AAAACAUUGCUUCAGUAUCCGUCGACAUUCAGAGCUCUGGAUUCUCCACCCCUACAAAUGUUCAAUGUUUCCAAGGUAAGCUCAGAUAGCUUUAUAAUCAUUUAUCCAUUUAUAGUGCCUUAAAAUUGGCUUUUAAAUUCAAUUUUGAAUUGGUUUUAUACUUAUUUUUUGUCAAGAAAGAUAAAUGGGGUGUUAGGAAUUUGAAUUUUGGAUUGGUUUGACUUUUGAGUUCAAUUUUCUAGUUGGGUUUUUUGUUUUGGAUUGGUUUUCUCUUUCUGUUGAGUUUUCUCUUCAAGUGAGGUGUUGUUUGGAAUUGGAAUUGGUGUUGUUACUGUUUUUGUUGAAUUGGAGUUAUUGUUACUGCUGGAUUUGAAAACGAAAACACGUAGAAUUGGUGUUGUUAUUUCUAUUCUACUUAUU